rnacentral:rRNA from 1 species
GACGGACCACACGAACGUUAUUCGGAAUUACUGGGCUUAAAGGGUGCGUAGGCUGUGCAGAAAGUUGGGUGUGAAAGCCCUCGGCUUAACCGAGGAACUGCGCCCAAAACUACUGUGCUCGAGGGAGACAGAGGUGAGCGGAACUUAGGGUGGAGCGGUGAAAUGCGUUGAUAUCCUAAGGAACACCGGUGGCGAAAGCGGCUCACUGGGUCUCUUCUGACGCUGAUGCGCGAAAGCUAGGGGAGCGAACGUG